rnacentral:rRNA from 1 species
GACGAACGCUGGCGGCGGGCUUAACACAUGCAAGUCGAACGGCAAGGCCCUGCUAUUUUGCUCUUCUGGGUGGGCAAACGGGGGCGGAACACGUGAGUAACCUGCCCUUGACUUUGGGAUAACUUCAGGAAACGGGGGCUAAUACCAUAUAGCAUCUGCUGCUGCGUGGUGGGGGUUGGAAAUUCUGGGUGGGCGGGGAUGGACUCGCGGCUUAUCAGCUUGUUGGUGGGGGAGGGGCUUACCAAGGGUUUGACGGGUAGGCGGCCUGGGAGGGUGAACGGCCACCUUGGGACUGAGAGAGGGACCAGACUCCUACGGGAGGCAGCGGUGGGGAGUAUUGCCCAAUGGGAGGAAGCCGGAUGAAGCAACGCCGCGUGCGGGAUGACGGCCUUCGGGUUGUAAAACGCUUUCGCCUGUGACGCAGCGUGAGUGACGGUAAUGGGUAAAGAAGCACCGGCUAACUACGUG